CGAUCCAAAAAUUCAAUAGCCAGAGGCCGAUUCGAUUGCUCGAGAUGUGAUCGGCGGCGAGCUUGUGAGGAAAUUUUUGGGCUUUCUCAGUCGUCACUUCUCUCGAAUUGGAGCUCAAACACUUUCUUCAACCCUUAUCCCAUUCGAACACAACCCCACCAAUCUUUCUUUGUUUGGAGGGAGUUUCUGAGGUGAACCAUUCUUAAGGAAUUUGGGGAAGGAAUGAUGAAGACAUGUAUUCAGAGCCAUCUAUUCUUUGUGCAAGUCAGGUGUGAUCACAUAGAGUAAAGAUGUAACAUUCAUGGCUAAUGGUAAAGCUCAAUUUUUUGGCAUGUAAUCAUAUGAAUGCCAUUUAACCCUUUCUUUUGGCAUUUACAUGAAUUACUUCGUAACACUGGGAACAUAGGAACAUGGUCAAAGGUAUCAGCUCUGUUUUGUGGUUAUUCUUAAUAUUAUUUUCCAAUGACUUUCAGUUGUCAGUGUAGACCUAAAUUUGUUGCAAGCAUCACAUGCAGCAUAAUGUUCUAUUAGUGUACUUAAUGUUACCUGAACAAAGCUUGGCUUAUUGAGUCAGCUGUUGUGCUUAUGAACACUGACCUCAUGGGUGCACAGACAGAAACUCCUUUACAAAUUUAUAGUUGUUUUUCAUUGAA